rnacentral:rRNA from 1 species
AGUGAACGCUGGCGGUAGGCCUAACACAUGCAAGUCGAACGGCAGCACAGUAAGAGCUUGCUCUUACGGGUGGCGAGUGGCGGACGGGUGAGGAAUACAUCGGAAUCUACUUUUUCGUGGGGGAUAACGUAGGGAAACCUACGCUAAUACCGCAUACGACCCACGGGUGAAAGCAGGGGAUCUUCUGACCUUGCGCGAGUGAAUGAGCCGAUGUCGGAUUAGCUAGUUGGCGGGGUAAAGGCCCACCAAGGCGACGAUCCGUAGCUGGUCUGAGAGGAUGAUCAGCCACACUGGAACUGAGACGCGGUCCAGACUCCUACGGGAGGCAGCAGUGGGGAAUAUUGGACAAUGGGCGCGAGCCUGAUCCAGCCAUACCGCGUGGGUGAAGAAGGCCUUCGGGCUGUAAAGCCCUUUUGUUGGGAGAGAAAAGCAGCAGGUUAAUACCCCGCUGUUCUGACGGUACCCAAAGAAUAAGCACCGGCUAACUUCGUG